rnacentral:rRNA from 1 species
GCCCUUCGGGGUACACGAGCGGCGAACGGGUGAGUAACACGUGGGUGAUCUGCCUCGCACUCUGGGAUAAGCCUGGGAAACUGGGUCUAAUACCGGAUAUGACCUUACAUCGCAUGGUGUUUGGUGGAAAGAUUUAUCGGUGCGAGAUGGGCCCGCGGCCUAUCAGCUUGUUGGUGGGGUAAUGGCCUACCAAGGCGACGACGGGUAGCCGGCCUGAGAGGGCGACCGGCCACACUGGGACUGAGACACGGCCCAGACUCCUACGGGAGGCAGCAGUGGGGAAUAUUGCACAAUGGGCGAAAGCCUGAUGCAGCGACGCCGCGUGAGGGAUGACGGCCUUCGGGUUGUAAACCUCUUUCGACAGGGACGAAGCGCAAGUGACGGUACCUGUAGAAGAAGCACCGGCCAACUACGUGCCAGCAGCCGCGGUAAUACGUAGGGUGCGAGCGUUGUCCGGAAUUACUGGGCGUAAAGAGCUUGUAGGCGGCUUGUCGCGUCGAUCGUGAAAACUUGGGGCUCAACCCCAAGCUUGCGGUCGAUACGGGCAGGCUUGAGUACUUCAGGGGAGACUGGAAUUCCUGGUGUAGCGGUGAAAUGCGC